CGGGGGAGGCCGGAUCCUGGGCUGUGUCCCGGAGCCCUGUGCUCGGGAGCCUGCGCUGUUGGAUCCGCGGAGCCACCGCCCGAGCCCCCCCG
rnacentral:pre_miRNA from 1 species